rnacentral:rRNA from 1 species
UACAGAGGUCUCAAGCGUUGUUCGGAUACAUUGGGCGUAAAGGGUGCGUAGGCGGCGCGGUAAGUCGGGUGUGAAAUCUCGGAGCUUAACUCCGAAACUGCAUUCGAUACUGCCGUGCUUGAGGACUGGAGAGGAGACUGGAAUUUACGGUGUAGCGGUGAAAUGCGUAGAUAUCGUAAGGAAGACCAGUGGCGAAGGCGGGUCUCUGGACAGUUCCUGACGCUGAGGCACGAAGGUCAGGGGAGCAAACGGG